GUGCACCAGGCGAGAAACUUCACAAUGUGCGAAAGCACGAUGAGGGAAUCCCAAGUGCUUGCACGUAAGUGUAAGCUGUUUCUCUGUCUAAAACGCAGAGAGAGUAAGGGCUGGGUAAGACGGGUGCCAGCCGCCGCGGUAAUACCUGCAGCUCGAGUGGUGACCGUUAUUAUUGGGCCUAAAACGUCCGUAGCCGGUUUAAUAAAUGCCUGGGUAAAUCGGACCGCUUAACGGUUCGAAUUCCGGGUAGACUGUUAAACUUGAGACCGGGAGAAGUUAGAGGUACUCCUGGGGUAGAGGUGAAAUUCUGUAAUCCUAGGGGGACCACCAGUGGCGAAGGCGUCUAACUAGAACGGGUCUGACGGUGAGGGACGAAGCCCUGGGGCGCAAACGGGAUUAGAUACCCCCGUAGU
rnacentral:rRNA from 1 species